rnacentral:rRNA from 1 species
GACGAACGCUGGCGGCGUGCUUAACACAUGCCAGUCGAACGGUGAAGCGCCUUCCUUUUUGGUGGGUGUGGAUGAGUGGCGAACGGGUGAGUAACACGUGAGUAACCUGCCCCCUUCUUCUGGAUAACCGCAUGAAAGUGUGGCUAAUACGGGAUAUUCUGGGUCUGUCGCAUGAUGGGUCUGGGAAAGAUAUUGUUUCGGUGGGGGAUGGGCUCGCGGCCUAUCAGCUUGUUGGUGGGGUGAUGGCCUACCAAGGCGGUGACGGGUAGCCGGCCUGAGAGGGUGGACGGUCACACUGGGACUGAGACACGGCCCAGACUCCUACGGGAGGCAGCAGUGGGGAAUAUUGCACAAUGGGCGCAAGCCUGAUGCAGUGACGCCGCGUGAGGGAUGGAGGCCUUCGGGUUGUGAACCUCUUUCGCCAGUGAAGCAGGCCUGCCUCGUUUGUGGGUGGGUUGACGGUAGCUGGAUAAGAAGCGCCGGCUAACUACGUG